rnacentral:rRNA from 1 species
UACAGAGGUCUCAAGCGUUGUUCGGAUUCAUUGGGCGUAAAGGGUGUGUAGGUGGCGCGUAAGUCGGGUGUGAAAUUCGAUGGCUUAACUCCGAAACUGCAUUCGAUACUGGCCGUGCUUGAGGACUGGAGAGGAGACUGGAAUUUACGGUGUAGCGUGAAAUGCGUAGAUAUCGUAAGGAAGACCAGUGGCGAAGGCGGGUCUCUGGACAGUUCCUGA